CCUACGGGAGGCAGCAGUGGGGAAUAUUGCGCAAUGGGCGCAAGCCUGACCCAGCAACGCCGCGUGAAGGAAGAAGGCUUUCGGGUUGUAAACUUCUUUUCUCAGGGACGAAGAAAGUGACGGUACCUCAGGAAUAAGCCACGGCUAACUACGUGCCAGCAGCCGCGUUAAUACGUAGGUGGCAAGCGUUAUCCGGAUUUAGUGGGUGUAAAGGGCGUGUAGGCGGGAAAGCAAGUCAGAUGUGAAAACUGAGGGCUCAACCCUGAGCCUGCAUUUGAAACUGUUUUUCUUGAGUGCUGGAGAGGCAAUCGGAAUUCCGUGUGUAGCGGUGAAAUGCGUAGAUAUACGGAGGAACACCAGUGGCGAAGGCGGAUUGCUGGACAGUAACUGACGCUGAGGCGCGAAAGCGUGGGGAGCAAACAGGAUUAGAUACCCGAGUAGUC
rnacentral:rRNA from 1 species